GGCGAAAGGGUUAUCCCACCCCCGGCUUCGUAGGAUUCAUCCCGCCCUUCAUACACGGUGCACGGUAUAUGAACUCUAUGUAACGCGAGCGCAAGGCUUAGGCCCUGUUGCAAAGAGUUGGUGAGAUUGUGCCCCUGGUUGGGAAGGAGGGGUGAAACUGCCAUACCGAGAGACCACCGCCAACUAUUGCAACAUGUUGAGGAACCUCCAUAUCUGCCAUGGCGGAUGGCUGGAUUAUUUGAUAGUAGGAAAAUUUUAAGCGGGGUUCGGUUUUUAUUUGUUUGUUUGUUUACUUUUAUUGUGACCCUGUUUCAAAUGCUUCCCUGAUUGAACUUCCUUUGUGGGGGAGACAACUUGUCUGAUAGACCAUGGUUUGGGGACUAUAUCCCUUUAAAUGCUUACGCGGCGU
rnacentral:sRNA from 2 species